rnacentral:rRNA from 1 species
GUAGCUGGUCUGAGAGGAUGGCCAGCCACACUGGAACUGAGACACGGUCCAGACUCCUACGGGAGGCAGCAGUGGGGAAUAUUGGACAAUGGGGGCAACCCUGAUCCAGCAAUGCCGCGUGUGUGAAGAAGGCCUGAGGGUUGUAAAGCACUUUCAGUGGGGAGGAGGAUUGAUAGGUUAAGAGCURAUUAAUUGGACGUUACCCACAGAAGAAGCACCGGCUAACUCCGUGCCAGCAGCCGCGGUAAUACGGAGGGUGCGAGCGUUAAUCGGAAUUACUGGGCGUAAAGGGUGCGUAGGUGGUUAUAUAAGUUAUCUGUGAAAUCCCUGGGCUUAACCUGGGCAGGUCAGAUAAUACUGUUUGACUCGAGUAUGG